AGAGAAAACCAGAACACAGUGAUUACAGUCAACGUCUGGACGGAUGAGUUGGAUCGGCCCAAAUGGAACCCUGUCCCCUAUACAGGGCACUACUUCUGACAAGGGCCCAUAGGGUUAGAGCCAAUAGGGCUCUGGUCGAUAGUAGUGCCCUGCAAAUGGAAUAGAGUGCUACUUAGGACACAGAUUAGUUGAGCUGCCACCCAGACACCUGCCAGCAUCACUCAUCACAGGGGACGGGCUCAGCACUGAAAAAGGGGGACUCUCUGCAAUAUGGCGUCCUCAGAGGUUACUUACAGAGGAGACGCUUCCUGCUUACAGACAGUGAAGGGAGACAGCAGAAUCAUAAUCUGCCAAUACUCCAGACAGCCACUAGGGGAUCCUCUCGAUGCAGGUAUAGAGGCCCACAGUGGAGGUGUCAUAAUACCCAUAAGACCUAGCGGUCAAACAAGGAAAUGGUUCCAAUCACCGUUCAUUUUCCAAUAAGGGAUUUUAGAAACACUUUAAAUGAGGGCUGUGUUUUGUGUAGGUUUAACCUGUCGUGGUGUUUUGUGUAGGUUUAACCCUGCCGUGGUGUUUUGUGUAGGUUUAACCCUGUCGUGGUGUUUUGAGUAGGUUUAACCUGCCGUGGUGUUUUGUGUAGGUUUAACCUGCCGUGGUGUUUUGUGUAGGUUUAACCCUGCUGUGGUGUUUUGUGUAGGUUUAACCUGCCGUGGUGUUUUGUGUAGGUUUAACCCUGCCGUGGUGUUUUGUGUAGGUUUAACCUGUCGUGGUGUUUUGUGUAGGUUUAACCUGCCGUGGUGUUUUGUGUAGGUUUAACCUGCCCUGGUGUUUUGAUGACCCUGUAAAUCUCUCUAGGACAAGGUGACUUUUAUCAAUAUAUUCAGCUCUAUUUACUCUCAUAUUCUAAAAUGCUAAUUAGCAUCAAAGUAGACACCAUGCCAGACUACAAAUCAUCUCUGAUACCUUUACUACCAGGUAUUGAUCCUGCAGGUCUCUAGCUGAUACCUUUACUACCAGGUAUUGAUCCUACAGGUCAUCUCUGAUACCUUUACUACCAGGUAUUGAUCCUACAGGUCAUCUCUGAUACCUUUACUACCAGGUAUUGAUCCUACAGGUCAUCUCUGAUACCAUUACUACCAGGUAUUGAUCCUACAGGUCAUCUCUGAUACCUUUACUACCAGGUAUUGAUCCUGAAGGUCAUCUCUGAUACCUUUACUACCAGGUAUUGAUCCUACAGGUCAUCUCUGAUACCUUUACUACCAGGUAUUGAUCCUACAGGUCAUCUCUGAUACCUUUACUACCAGGUAUUGAUCCUACAGGUCAUCUCUGAUACCUUUACUACCAGGUAUUGAUCCUACAGGUCAUCUCUGAUACCUUUACUACCAGGUAUUGAUCCUACAGGUCAUCUCUGAUACCUUUACUACCAGGUAUUGAUCCUACAGGUCUCUAGCUGAUACCUUUACUACCAGGUAUUGAUCCUGGAGGUCUCUAGCUGAUACCUUUACUACCAGGUAUUGAUCCUACAGGUCAUCUCUGAUACCUUUACUACCAGGUAUUGAUCCUACAGGUCAUCUCUGAUACCUUUACUACCAGGUAUUGAUCCUACAGGUCAUCUCUGAUACCUUUACUACCAGGUAUUGAUCCUACAGGUCAUCUCUGAUACCUUUACUACCAGGUAUUGAUCCUACAGGUCAUCUCUGAUACCUUUACUACCAGGUAUUGUGUGAUUUGUAGUUCUUUACGGGAGUCACAUUAGAUAGUUAAUCCAGAGAUUUGUAGUUCUUUACGGGAGCCACAUUAGAUAGUUAAUCCAGAGAUUUGUAGUUCUUUACGGGAGUCACAUUAGAUAGUUAAUCCAGAGAUUUGUAGUUCUUUACAGGAGUCACAUUAGAUAGUUAAUCCAGAGAUUUGUAGUUCUUUACGGGAGCCACAUUAGAUAGUUAAUCCAGAGAUUUGUAGUUCUUUACGGGAGCCACAUUAGAUAGUUAAUCCAGAGAUUUGUAGUUCUUUACAGGAGCCACAUUAGAUAGUUAAUCCAGAGAUUUGUAGUUCUUUACGGGAGCCACAUUAGAUAGUUAAUCCAGAGAUUUGUAGUUCUUUACAGGAGCCACAUUAGAUAGUUAAUCCAGAGAUUUGUAGUUCUUUACGGGAGUCACAUUAGAUAGUUAAUCCAGAGAUUUGUAGUUCUUUACAGGAGUCACAUUAGAUAGUUAAUCCAGAGAUUUGUAGUUUUUUACGGGAGCCACAUUAGAUAGUUAAUCCAGAGAUUUGUAGUUCUUUACGGGAGUCACAUUAGAUAGUUAAUCCAGAGAUUUGUAGUUCUUUACAGGAGUCACAUUAGAUAGUUAAUCCAGAGAUUUGUAGUUUUUUACGGGAGCCACAUUAGAUAGUUAAUCCAGAGAUUUGUAGUUCUUUACGGGAGCCACAUUAGAUAGUUAAUCCAGAGAUUUGUAGUUCUUUACGGGAGCCACAUGAGCAGCUAAUUAGCAUUUCAUUGGGGGUAAAUACAGGCGAAUACAUGAAUAAAAGAUCUACACAGUUAUCAAAACGUCACACCAGGGUAAACUGACACGAAACAACAGCCCUUAAUUUAAGUGUUUCUAUAAAAAAUCCCCUUUGGGGAAAAAUGAUUGGAACCAUUUCCUUGUUUGACCGCGGGGUGUUAUGGGUAUCAUGACUCAUACCGUGGUACUCUAUAUGCCUCAACGGAGGGAAGAAACUAGGAAGACACAACAGUGGCCAUCUUGGGAAUAUUGUCGUUCUCGGUAGUCGCUGAGCAGGAAGUCACCCCUCUGUAUCCUGUGACGUCAUAUUGCGGAGCGCGUCCCCAUUUUACCUCUCUAACAGUUAUCGAUGCUGAUCGGUGAUUUAUAACCGGUAAAUGAUCAAUAAUCAUUCAGAACACCUAUUCAUCAGAUUCAUCAAUAUCAAUAUUCAUCACGAUCAUCUACUAAUCACAUGUAUUUGAUGAGGUGGAUUCACUAUUGGUUACAUUUACAACAGCACACCCCAUCUAAUCAACAGAUCAGUUACGUCUGUGGUACAAAAGGCUACGUUUAUACAGGCAGCCCAAGUUUCGAGCUAAAGAGCUGAUCUGAUUGGUGUAAAAAAAAUAGAAAAGAACAAACACGAUCAGAAUGUGACUGUCUGUGUAAACGCAGCCACAGAGACCCAGAGGGAAAGGACUCUACAGACACUAUUAUCUAAUCUAUUAUCUAUUAUCUAAUCUACAAUCUAUUAAGAUCAGAAUGUGACUGUCUGUGUAAACGCAGCCACAGAGACCCAGAGGGAAAGGACUCUACAGACACUAUUAUCUAAUCUAUUAUCUAUUAUCUAAUCUACAAUCUAUUAAGAUCAGAAUGUGACUGUCUGUGUAAACGCAGCCACAGAGACCCAGAGGGAAAGGAC